CAACUUCUUACGUAACAACUUCGUCAAAAUCCAAGAAAGUUCCUUUUUUGCCAAAUGGGAAGAUUGGAAUUAAAUUCAAAAUUUAAGUAAAUCCGUUUAUAAGAUUUGAGGAAGUAGUUUUUCAAAAGUUUCCGUGAGUUGUUCCAUUUACCCACUAUUGAGACGUUAUCCCUUAUUAUUCACACUCCCUGGCAUCUAUCUCACCCUCAUUUUAUUGACUACGAAGUCAAUUAUUUAUCAGGAGAUAUCUGCUUUAUAUAAUACUUUACCCGUUACUCGCCGCUACUUGUACAUAUUUUGUUGUAUCACGACAGCGUUACAAUACUGGCUUUACAAGAUUUUACAUUUAAUCCAGAAACUACAAAUUAAAUUUGGGUGAUUGAGGGCAAUGUUAUUUUUAUUUCAUAAUUUCAGCUGUUUUUGAUGUAAACGCGUUCGUGUCAUGGCGGUGUUAGUUUAUUGUUGUUUCAGUGAAACGGUUUUAAAAUUGAUGUGAUUGUGAUUGAAGUUAAUUCGUGACCGGCGUGUUUAGAUGACAAAAUGCACAUUAUUUUAAACCAAAUUCGUUUAAGAUUGUUUGAAAACUGUGAAAUUAGAGUUAUUGAGAAUGAAAAUGUACUAAAUUAAACUUUUACUUAUCAGUGGAAACAACAGUAUUACAGAGGGUCUCCAGUCUUCAGGUGUGACUACUGCGACAAGCAAUACUGUCUCAAGUCCAGUCUGAUGCAACACAUGCGACUGGAGUGUGUUACCGGACCUCAGUUCCCCUGUCAGUAC